rnacentral:lncRNA from 1 species
AGCCCACCCUUGGAGAACCACUGGGCUAUAGAAUGAUGUCAAGGGCUGGAGAGGGAGGCUACAGAGUGGGUCUAGGUCCAGGUACAGUCUCAGAACCACACUGCAAAACUGGCUUAGUCAGGUAGCUGCUGUAUCUGCUGCUUCCACUGUGAACUCAAAAACCACAUUGCCUGUGCUGCAGGCCGGAAAGCUGCUGAACCAGGAAGCUGUGCUGAUGCUGCUGACUGCCCCUGAGGUUAGAGAUUGACUAGACAUAGUGCCACUGUCAUCCCUGCUGGAGAAGGUCCGAAGCACCUCCACCUCUGUGCUUCCAGAGGGGCACUGUGGUGGCCACUUAAAAUGCUCAGGCUAUACCAUGCACUAGAGCAUCUACCUGGGCAAGGGAUAUGCUGUAUGACACUCUCCUGAUGCUGGGCAUGGCUGUGAGCCAAAGCACCCAGGCAGCCCUGCCAUCAGAAGGGUAAACCACGGACACCUGAUGCCUUCCUGAAGGAAGAGCACUACGCCUGCCAAACCAUCAAGCGUUGAUGCUCCAGCGCCUUCUACCCGUGGUUCUCCAGCCUCAGCAGAAGAGAGAGAAAUUGAUGACCCUGUCGUUGUAGCAUCCCCAUCACCCAGCAAUUAAUUUUAGUUCAAUGCUUCAAACGCUCUUCAGGCGCAGUGUGCGUUCAGCUGUGUCAGCUAAUGCAAAUGGGGGAUCUCAGAAGUCUUAAUGAAGUAACUAUCCCUGAACACUGGGAUCAAUACUCAGCAUCCAGCUGUCAAAUCAACACCAAGCGUUUCACUCGUCGCCCAGCCUAGAGUGCAAUGGCGCUAUUUCGGCUCAUUAUAACCUCCGCCUCCCGGGUUCAAGCAAUUCUUCUGCUUCAGCGUCCCAAGUAGCUGGGAUUACAGGCCUUCAGUUGCAAAGUUCUCCAUUGUCAGAUUACGCUGCCUGAUGGGCAUGAAAAGUCCACAAAAGAGAAUUUUCUGAUGUGAGAAUGGAGGGUGUUGCCUGCAACUACCCCAGAUCCCUGCGGUGGCAGUUUAAGCCGCCUCCUGGAGCAGAUUGUUAAGCUGAUGCGAGUCUGGGCUCUGCCUCACCACUUGUCUCAGAGGAAUCUCGGCCAAGAAGACAGGGACAAGCUCCCAACUCUGACUACCCCUUUUACAGGGAAAAAAAAAAAAUCCCGUGCCUUCUUUGCAGCAAGUGACAAAUCCUUGUCAUAUCGAGAUGGCUUUUCCUCCUCCUCUUCAAACAUCUUUUAGCAGCAACAGCAGCUCAAGUAACUGGAAUUAUUUCAGAGUUAAAAUGCAGGCUUUGUAGACCCUCUUAGACAGACAGAUUCAAUUUCAAAGGAAACUUCUUUGGCUGGGUACUCAGUGAGUGUUACACAGGGAUUUGGGGAGUUAAUAUUCACUGUUUCUGUUGUUGGAGAAAAGGAAAGCAGAGUUGCUCUUUCUCAUUACUCUCCCCAACGCACAUCUGUUUCCUCUCGUAUCUUGGAAUUAGGAAGAUGGAGGAGACUUAAGUGGUGACCCACCUAGCCUCCUGAUGCAUGCUGGGCUCACUUUAAAACUCCCAAAACAGAUGGCAGUUGAUCACGGUUUUAAAGAUCCCAGCAUAGACUUUCUGCAGCCUCCCUUGUUAGCCACUAUCAGCGCUUAACAUUCUGUCAUCUGAAUAACUCCUUAAAAAUGAUAGCAAUGGUAGUAGAAAUUUAAAAGGAACCUCCCAAAAAACAUGCAAAAGCUUACCACCCCAGUAAAUCACCCGCAACAAUGUCGCAACAGUUUAAAUUUACUGCAGAGAGAGCUGAAGUUUAGGAGACACAGCUUUAUAAUAUUUUUGAGAGAUAGUUGAGUGCAAAUGAGUCCUGUUCCUCUUGCAUCAGGGCCUGCUCCACUGAGUCAUCCUGCCUUCAGAAGCUUCCAGCUAAGUGGCAGGCCCCGGCCAUAGGCUCCCUGUGUCCCCAGCCUCCAGAGAACACACAAUGUUCUCAUCGCCCUUAGCUCCAUUCCAGAAGGGGCCUGCAGUUCUGCAGCUUAUCAGGGGUCUACUGGGAAGUGAGAUGUCACUGUCCCUUUCUGGCCCUGCAUUGUCUGUGAGUGGCUCUCCUGGAUUAAGAGUUGGCAAAGUAUGGCCAGUGGCCAGGACUGGCCUGCUGCCUGUUUUUGUUUAACCCGUGAGCUAAGAAUAGUUUUUACCUAUUUUAAGUAGUUGAAAAAAAAAUCAAGAGAAGAAUACUAUUUCGUGAUAUGUGAAAAAUCACAUGAAAUUCAAAUGUAAGUGUCCAUAAAUAAAGUCUUACUGGAAGACAGCCUUGCUCAUUUAUUUCUGUCUCAUUCGCUACUGUCUGCGGCUGCCUUCACGCUACAAUGGCAGUACUGAGUAGUUGUGACGGGCACUGUAUGACAGCAAAUCCUAAAGUAUUUGCCAUCUGGCCCUUCACAGAAAAAGUUUGCUGACCCUGGCUUUCGAGCCUCUCAUCACUUUGGGAUUCAUCUCUUUACUUUCCCCAGAGUGAGGGAGGCAGUAACGUUCCUCGUGAGUGCUUAGUCCUUGCUCCCAAGGCAAUAAACCCCCCAAAACCCCUCUCUUUCUGCAGUCUUCUUGUUGGCUUGAUAGUGGUAGGGCUGGUUCAGCCAAGGUCACAGUUGGAGGGCAGGAAGGGGGUACAGCGAAGGACGACGGGGGUGUCUUCUCUAGUCCUGUUUGCAGCAAUCUUUAGAAUGCAAAAUAAUUAAGAAGAAACUGCUGUUUUUUGGCUGUGGGAUGCAAUUCGAAUUCUGGAAAAUUAGAAUCAACAGAACGUGGGAUGUGGGAGUCCAGGACAACUCCCCUGUUUUGGCUGUGUUUGGUGCCAUGUGUGGAGGUGGGAGAGAUGGGAGAAAGAAGAGGUUUGGGCAGGGGGAGGGAAGAAUCAAGAUUCUGCUUUGAAUGGACGAAGGUUGUGGUUUGUUGAGAGGACAACUAGAUAACUGGCCACUUGAAGAUGGGAUGGAAGUCUGAAUCUGCAAGGAGUCACAGAUGAAUGGUAUGGAAAGCUGUGGUAGUGGAUGAGAUCAUACGAACGGUGGGUGCAGAUGGAAACGAGAAGCCAUCUAAGGACUCGUAAUGGGCUCCUCAACACUUGGAAGUUGGGUAGAGGAAGAAGACCGCAUGAGGGCAGGAUCCUGAAUGUUCCACUCACUGCUAUAUCCCUAGCACUGGUUACAGUGCUUGGCACACACUGCAUGCUCAAUAAAUUAUUUGUUGCCCAUAUAAGUGAACGUGAAUUCCAAUGGACUAGCAUCUUCCACUCUCAACAUAAACAAAAACAACAGCAACAUUGCAAUUCCCUAUCUUCUCUUCCCUGAUCUCUUUCUCAUUCUGUCUCUCCUUCCCUUUUCCUCUGCCUUCCUGUUGCCUUCUCUGAUAUGAGUUAAAUUUAUCAGGGGUGUCCAGGUACCCGGCUAUUCUUGAGCAUUCCUUAUCUGGCUA